CCUACGGGAGGCAGCAGUAGGGAAUCUUCCACAAUGGGCGCAAGCCUGAUGGAGCAACACCGCGUGAGUGAAGAAGGUUUUCGGCUCGUAAAGCUUUGUUGUUGGAGAAGAACGUGCGUGCGCGUGACUGUUCACGCAGUGACGGUAUCUAACCGGAACGUCACGGCUAACUACGUGCCCGCAGCCGCGGUAAUACGUAGGGGGCAAGCAUUAUCCGGUUUUAUUGGGCGUAAAGCGAGCGCAGGCGGUUGGGUAGGUCUGAUGUGAAAGCCUUCGGCUUAACCCAAGAAGUGCAGCGGAAACCGGGCGACUUGAGUGCAGAAGAGGACAGUGGAACUCCAGGUGUAGCGGUGGAAUGCGUAGAUAUAUGGAAGAACACCAGUGGCGAAGGCGGCUGUCUGGUCUGCAACUGACGCUGAGGCUCGAAAGCAUGGGUAGCGAACAGGAUUAGAUACCCGGGUAGUC
rnacentral:rRNA from 1 species